rnacentral:rRNA from 1 species
AUUGAACGCUGGCGGCAUGCCUUACACAUGCAAGUCGAACGGUAACAGGUCUUCGGAUGCUGACGAGUGGCGAACGGGUGAGUAAUACAUCGGAACGUGCCUAGUAGUGGGGGAUAACUACUCGAAAGAGUGGCUAAUACCGCAUGAGAUCUACGGAUGAAAGCAGGGGAUCGUAAGACCUUGUGCUACUAGAGCGGCCGAUGGCAGAUUAGGUAGUUGGUGGGAUAAAAGCUUACCAAGCCGACGAUCUGUAGCUGGUCUGAGAGGACGAUCGGCCACACUGGGACGGAGACACGGCCCAGACUCCUACGGGAGGCAGCAGUGGGGAAUUUUGGACAAUGGGCGCAAGCCUGAUCCAGCAAUGCCGCGUGCAGGAUGAAGGCCUUCGGGUUGUAAACUGCUUUUGUACGGAACGAAAAGCCCCGGGUUAAUACCCUGGGGUCAUGACGGUACCGUAAGAAUAAGCACCGGCUAACUACGUGCCAGCCGCCGCCGUAA